rnacentral:rRNA from 1 species
GUGGGGAAUAUUGGACAAUGGGCGAAAGCCUGAUCCAGCCAUGCCGCGUGUGUGAAGAAGGUCUUCGGAUUGUAAAGCACUUUAAGUUGGGAGGAAGGGUAGUAACCUAAUACGUUGCUACUUUGACGUUACCGACAGAAUAAGCACCGGCUAACUUCGUGCCAGCAGCCGCGGUAAUACGAAGGGUGCAAGCGUUAAUCGGAAUUACUGGGCGUAAAGCGCGCGUAGGUGGUUUUGUAAGUUGGAGGUGAAAUCCCCGGGCUCAACCUGGGAACUGACUCCAAAACUGUAUGACUAGAGUACGGUAGAGGGUAGUGGAAUUUCCUGUGUAGCGGUGAAAUGCGUAGAUAUAGGAAGGAACACCAGUGGCGAAGGCGACUACCUGGACUGAUACUGACACUGAGGUGCGAAAGCGUGGGGAGCAAACAGGAUUAGAUACCCCAGUAGUCC